rnacentral:sRNA from 1 species
GGGUCUCGCGCAGAUUUAAUUUGCCCAUAAAAGUGAGUGUUAUUUUUUUGCAAACUGGGCAUAGUAUUUUUUGGUAUUGCUAUUACCAAAGAUUAAAUCGUAAGCAACACUGUCUUUUUCUUCAUUAAGAACACUUCGCGGUUUUCAGCGUAACAGCUGCGCUAGACCCCAUUCUUGUGUUUCAGUGAUUCUACUAGCAAAGUAAAUGGCCACAAUCUGUCGCUUGUUAUUUAAGACUAAGGAACCCGAAGCGCCACGACUUAAACUACCAUUAGUGAUCCCAAUUCCCUUGCCAUACAUUUGGUAUUCUUUGCCACGAAACUGGCGAUUAAACGGAAAGUUCUUGGUGUUAUCAUGGUUUCAAGCCCAGGUGCCACCAUUAAACUUGUCACUUUUAAUCCUACCCAAAUGCGGUCCUUCUUCGUUAAUUGUGGAAACAAAGGGCUGAUCAUUGGGUAUUUGGGCUGUUUCACCAGGCACUGUUUUUUCUUUCCCGGUUUGGUUUACAAAUAAAGUUGGCAGCUUUUUCGCUAUGUAAGGAUAGCCCAGUACAUAAUAAUGACUAUGUUUAAACUGGUCUAAAGUUGGGUAGGCAAAAAUGUUUAAGCUAUCACCUAACUGUUUGUAAGCUCUAAUUGCUGGUUGGAUGAAAUGAUCAAAAAUUUGUCGGUCAGAUGAAUUAUUGAGAAAUAAAGGUAGUUCUAAUACCGCAGAGUCAGCAUAAGGAUGAACUUCAUCUUUAUUUGGCUUAAUUUGUACCUUUCAUUGCUGUUCUCUUUGUUUUUUAUUCUUUUGAUCUUUGGAUAAAGUGUAGUUCACAAAGUCAUGUGCAAUGAAAGCAGUUUUAGGAAGUACCGUUGGUUGUGCUGCUACAAAAGCUUGGGUAGAGUUGGGUAAGCCUAAUUUGCUUGGUGCGACAAAUUGUUUAACAUCAGUGUAUUUGCCAAUUCUAAAAUCAACGGUUCGCACAAAAUUGAUAUCAAAUUGGUUGUAAGGCGGAUGAUCUUCUCGGUUUUUUAAGGCCUGUAUGACGUGUAAAUUAGUAGCUAAGUAAACAGUAAAUUUAUUAGCUUUUUUAUCUUUCUUGUCAACUUCCUUCCAGUCAAUUAACCAACCCGUUCCGUGAAUGGAACCAAAAUCUAUUUGACUUUUAUCUUUUUCGGUUUUUUCAAUUCUGUUAAAAAAACCUAAAAAAAAGGUUAAAUCAUAGUUGGCAUGAUCGAUUUCUGCACUACCAGGAAUAUUGUUAAUGUAAUACCCUUCGAAUUUAUCAGGUUUUCGAAAGGCUGAACAAGCACUUAAAACAGUUAGUGCCAAUAAUCCACUAAGAAAACCAAAACGCUUGAGCGCAACUCACAUAAACGAGUAAUUCUAAUAAAGGGUUAAGGAGCCCUGUUUGCAGUGAUAUCCCAAAGGAUUAAACCACAAAAUUUUUAAGACUUUUGGUUUUUAACAAAGGUAAAUUGUUGGUCGUUGCUUUGCUUAAUUUGCUCAAACAAAUGGGUUUUAUGUUGUUUAGCAAAUUGAGCGUAGUACUUUUUAGUGUCUUUGUUACCAAAGAUUAAGUCAUAGGCCACUGUGUUUGUGCCAUCGUUAUUAUGGCCAUUGGCUUUUCAACGCAGCAACUGAGCUACCCCUCAAGCAGUAGUGGUGUUACUAGUAGACGCAAAAUAAAUGCCAGUAAUUUGGUGCUUAUCGUUUAACACUAAAGCACCACUAGCGCCACUUGUAAAACCAGCAUUG